rnacentral:rRNA from 1 species
ACGCUGGCGGCGUGCCUAGUACAUGCAAGUCGAGCGGACAGAUGGGAGCUUGCUCCCUGAUGUUAGCGGCGGACGGGUGAGUAACACGUGGGUAACCUGCCUGUAAGACUGGGAUAACUCCGGGAAACCGGGGCUAAUACCGGAUGCUUGUUUGAACCGCAUGGUUCAAACAUAAAAGGUGGCUUCGGCUACCACUUACAGAUGGACCCGCGGCGCAUUAGCUAGUUGGUGAGGUAAUGGCUCACCAAGGCAACGAUGCGUAGCCGACCUGAGAGGGUGAUCGGCCACACUGGGACUGAGACACGGCCCAGACUCCUACGGGAGGCAGCAGUAGGGAAUCUUCCGCAAUGGACGAAAGUCUGACGGAGCAACGCCGCGUGAGUGAUGAAGGUUUUCGGAUCGUAAAGCUCUGUUGUUAGGGAAGAACAAGUACCGUUCGAAUAGGGCGGUACCUUGACGGUACCUAACCAAAAAGCCACGGCUAACUACGUGCCAGCAGCCGCGGUAAUACGUAGGUGGCAAGCGUUGUCCGGAAUUAUUGGGCGUAAAGGGCUCGCAGGCGGUUUCUUAUCUCUGAUGUGAAACCCCCCGGCUCACCCGCCGAGGUUCAUUGGAUAUUGGGGAUUUUGAUUGCAAAAGAGGAGAGGAGAACUCCACGUGUA